rnacentral:rRNA from 1 species
CAGUCGCCGCGGUAAUACAGAGGGUGCGAGCGUUAAUCGGAUUUACUGGGCGUAAAGCGUGCGUAGGCGGCUUCUUAAGUCGGAUGUGAAAUCCCUGAGCUUAACUUAGGAAUUGCAUUCGAUACUGGGAAGCUAGAGUAUGGGAGAGGAUGGUAGAAUUCCAGGUGUAGCGGUGAAAUGCGUAGAGAUCUGGAGGAAUACCGAUGGCGAAGGCAGCCAUCUGGCCUAAUACUGACGCUGAGGUACGAAAGCAUGGGGAGCAAACAGGAUUAGAGACCCCCGUAGUCCCUGUCUCUUAUAC